AUCACCUGGGGAUCUUGUUAAAAUGCAGAUUCUGAUUCAGUAACCUGGAGUGUGGCCUGAGAUCUGCAUUUCUACAAGCUCCCAGGGGAUGCCCA
rnacentral:pre_miRNA from 1 species